AAAAAAUGUUCACAAUGGCAUAAAAUUGUAAAUAAUAAUAAAAUAUCUGAUAUCUGACCAUUGGCUAUUUUAAUUGAAACUGAGGUUUCUAAUAAAAUAGCCAAUGGUUUGGCUAGUUUACAAACUAAACUAGCUAGUUUAGCCGUAACAUAUGCAGGGUGUAUUAGAAAUACGUUUAAUUUUAAAAAUUAAAAGAGCUUAACAAAUAAAACAUUUUUUUUAUUUGUAAUUUUUCAAUAGAAGUUUGAAAAAUUUACUUAAAAUUUGGAAAAAAUAACAUACUGAAACGUGUAAUCGACUAUGGAAACAAUGUUACUAAUGAACAAUGAAAACUUAUUAUUAAACACUCACCGGCUCGUUUCCACAAAAUAAAUGAGGAAAACAGUGGAAAUAAAAAUAAGGAUUUUGCAAAACGUUAUAUAUGUAGAAAAGUUGUUGUACUUGAUGAGUUUUAUUACGUGGUAAAAACAACACACGUAUUUCUGAUACAUCCUAUAUAUCUAUGAAAUUUAAAGCUACAUUAACUUAAAAAUUCGCGAAAUUGGCUAUCAGAUAUUUUAUUAUUAUUUACAAUUUUAUGCCAUUGUGAACAUUUAUUGUUAAGAUUAUUUUUCGUGCUGGUAAUUAUUUGUAGGAGAGAUCAUAUUUUGUAUAUAAACAUGGAUUCGGACUUUAUACGUCAAUGACUUCGAGAUGAAGUUGUUUGGAAUUGUGUUCUUUUUGUUCUUACUUGUCGCUGCAAAUUUUGGGGAAGAAUUAGAGCCAGAAUGGUCAGAACAAGAAGAAGAAGGUUUUUACCAACCGAGAGGACCACCACAUAAUGGCCAGUGGUGUGAUUGGUCGAAUGGUGGAACUUGUUAUUAAAUAUUUAUAUAAUUAAUUAAGAAAACAAUUUAUUUGUUCUCUUCAUAAUUAAAGCAGUUGUAAAAGA